UACGUAGGGGGCAAGCGUUGUCCGGAAUUAUUGGGCGUAAAGAGCGCGUAGGCGGUCCGAUAAGUCGGCUGUGAAAGUCAAGGGCUCAACCCUUGAAAGCCGGCCGAUACUGUCGGACUAGAGUCCGGAAGAGGCGAGUGGAAUUCCCGGUGUAGCGGUGAAAUGCGCAGAUAUCGGGAGGAACACCAAUGGCGAAGGCAGCUCGGCUGGGACGG
rnacentral:rRNA from 1 species